rnacentral:rRNA from 1 species
CCCCGAAAGCUAUUUAGGUAGCGCCUCGGACGAAUACCAUAGGGGGUAGAGCACUGUUUCGGCUAGGGGGUCAUCCCGACUUACCAAACCGAUGCAAACUCCGAAUACCUAUGAGUACUAUCCGGGAGACAGACUGCGGGUGCUAACGUCCGUAGUCAAGAGGAAAACAAUCCAGACCGCCAGCUAAGGCCCCAAAAUCAUAGUUAAGUGGGAAACGAUGUGGGAAGGCAUAGACAGCUAGGAGGUUGGCUUAGAAGCAGCCACCCUUUAAAGAAAGCGUAAUAGCUCACUAGUCGAGUCGGCCUGCGCGGAAGAUGUAACGGGGCUAAAACUAUGUGCCGAAGCUGCGGAUGUAUACUUUGUAUACGUGGUAGGGGAGCGUUCUGUAAGCCGAUGAAGGUGUGUUGAGAAGCAUGCUGGAGGUAUCAGAAGUGCGAAUGCUGACGUGAGUAACGACAAAACGGGUGAAAAACCCGUUCGCCGAAAGACCAAGGGUUCCAGUCCAACGUUAAUCGGGGCUGGGUGAGUCGACCCCUAAGGCGAGGCCGAAAGGCGUAGUCGAUGGGAAAAUGGUUAAUAUUCCAUUACUUCUGUGUAAUGCGAUGAGAGGACGGAGAAGGCUAAAUCAGCCUGGCGUUGGUUGUCCAGGUGAAAGGAUGUAGGCAUGUAUCUUAGGCAAAUCCGGGGUACUCUAUGCUGAGAUCUGAUAGCAAGCUGUACUUGUACAGCGAAGUGGUUGAUGCCAUGCUUCCAGGAAAAGUCUCUAAGCUUCAGUUACACAGGAAUCGUACCCGAAACCGACACAGGUGGUCAGGUCGAGUAGACCAAGGCGCUUGAGAGAACUCUGCUGAAGGAACUAGGCAAAAUGGUACCGUAACUUCGGGAGAAGGUACGCUGUUGUUGGUGAUGGAACUCGCUUCCUGAGCUGACGACAGCCGCAGAAACCAGGCCGCUGCAACUGUUUAUUAAAAACAUAGCACUCUGCAAACACGAAAGUGGACGUAUAGGGUGUGAUGCCUGCCCGGUGCUGGAAGGUUAAUUGAUGGGGUUAGCGUAAGCGAAGCUCUUGAUCGAAGCCCCAGUAAACGGCGGCCGUAACUAUAACGGUCCUAAGGUAGCGAAAUUCCUUGUCGGGUAAGUUCCGACCUGCACGAAUGGCAUAAUGAUGGCGGCGCUGUCUCCAGCAGAGGCUCAGUGAAAUCGAAAUCGCUGUGAAGAUGCAGUAAAGGUUCACGGGGUCUUUCCGUCUAGCCGCGGGUACAC